GACGAACGCUGGCGGCGUGCUUAACACAUGCAAGUCGAACGGAAAGGCCCUGCGUUUGUGGGGUGCUCGAUUGGCGAACGGGUGAGUAACACGUGAGUAACCUGCCCUUGACUUUGGGAUAACUUCAGGAAACUGGGGCUAAUACCGGAUAGGAGCUCCUGCUGCAUGGUGUGGGUUGGAAAGUUUCGGCGGUUGGGGAUGGACUCGCGGCUUAUCAGCUUGUUGGUGGGGUAGUGGAGUACCAAGGCUUUGACGGGUAGCCGGCCUGGGAGGGUGACCGGCCACAUUGGGACUGAGAUACGGACCAGACUCCUACGGGAGGCAGCAGUGGGGAAUCUUGCACAAUGGGCGGAAGCCUGAUGCAGCAACGCCGCGUGCGGGAUGACGGCCUUCGGGUUGUAAACCGCUUUCGCCUGUGACGAAGCGUGAGUGACGGUAAUGAGUAAAGAAGCACCGGCUAACUACGUG
rnacentral:rRNA from 1 species